CCUACGGGAGGCAGCAGUGGGGAAUAUUGCGCAAUGGGCGCAAGCCUGACCCAGCAACGCCGCGUGAAGGAAGAAGGCUUUCGGGUUGUAAACUUCUUUUCUCAGGGACGAAGCAAGUGACGGUACCUGAGGAAUAAGCCACGGCUAACUACGUGCCAGCCGCCGCGGUAACACGUAGGUGGCAAGCGUUACCCGGAUUUACUGGGUGUAAAGGGCGUGUAGGCGGGGACGCAAGUCAGAUGUGAAAGCCACGGGCUCAACCUGUGGCCUGCAUUUGAAACUGUGUGUCUUGAGUACUGGAGGGGCAGACGGAAUUCCUGGUGUAGCGGUGAAAUGCGUAGAUAUUAGGAGGAACACCAGUGGCGAAGGCGGUCUGCUGGACAGCAACUGACGCUGAGGCGCGAAAGCGUGGGGAGCAAACAGGAUUAGAUACCCGGGUAGUC
rnacentral:rRNA from 1 species